CCAUGCUUCCAGGAAAAGCCUCUAAGCUUCAGAUUGUAAGGAAUCGUACCCCAAACCGACACAGGUGGUCGGGUAGAGAAUACCAAGGCGCUUGAGAGAACUCGGGUGAAGGAACUAGGCAAAAUGGUACCGUAACUUCGGGAGAAGGUACGCUCUUGAUGGUGAAGUCCCUCGCGGAUGGAGCUGACGAGAGUCGCAGAUACCAGGUGGCUGCAACUGUUUAUUAAAAACACAGCACUGUGCAAAAUCG
rnacentral:rRNA from 1 species